UCUAAUUUUUCCCUCAUUUUCUUCUCCGCCAAAACCUUUUAGACCUAAUUAACCAAAACCUUUAGACUCAUUUUGCCAUCUCUCUCACGCUCUCUCUCUCUAGUCUCCAAGCGGCGGCCUCUCUCUCACCAAAUUGGAGUAACGUUGCUAGAAAAUCCACGGUGUUCUUCUUCAGUUUAUUUGCAAUUGGUCUUUCAUCUUCUCCAAUUCUGAUUUUGUGUAACCAGAUAUGCCGAAGACCAAGCGUUGGCAGAACUUGCAAAAGUCAAUUCAAGGGAAUGCACAACCAGCCCCGUCAGUUCAAGCAACAACAAAGCCGGCUUCGUCGAUUUCAUCACAGUUCGUCAGUUUAGGCAACAACAAAGCUGACUUCGUCGGUUCAGGCCACAUCAUAGUUUGGUUCGUCAGUUCAGGCCACAUCACAAUUGGCACGUUGGUUCAAGUUGCAUCACAACCGACUUCGCCUUUUCAGUCCGCGUCACAGCCGACUUUGUCCUUUCAGACCGCAUCACAAUCGACUUCGUCCUUUCAAGCUGUAUCACAGCCGACUUCAUCCUUUUAGGCCGUAUCACAGCCGACUUCAUCCGUUCAGGUCGCAUCACACCCUGCACUAUCCAGAAUGCUUGUCUUGGUGUGCAUUUAGUUACUUAUUAAUGUUGUGACAAACAAUAUUUAGGAAAAAACACGGUGGAUGAGUCUGAAGUUUCGCCGAAUGAUGCUGUUGGUAAAGUGCUAGGAAAAGAGCACUCUUGGAAGGGUAAGGUGCUUAGGAUUAGGAGCUGUCCCCAGCAAAGUUUUUAAACAUGCAAGACCUCGUUUUGGUGGUAUGAAUGCUUCAAGUAGUGAUGCUUCAUGUUUGAACCAUUGCCAAGAGAACUACAAUAAAUUGUUGAAUGCUCACAACCAAAGCCAAGAGAACUACAAACAAAUGAUGAAUGCUUUCAAGGCAUAUAUGAUAAUGAAAGAAGGGAAAAUACCAGAGCAAUUUGUGGGAUUCUUUGCUUCUCCUCCUACAAUGCCAAGAGAUGCACCUAGUGGAUCCCUAUCACCCAUGGACGCAAGAAGAUCAUCUGAUGGCAGUAAUCAAAAUGACAACAGAUGGCAGUAAUCCAAGUGACAACAAUUGAAGUUCUUUAUAAUUGAAUUAGAUAAUUAAUUGUGACAAUGUAAUUAUGUGAUUGGAGCGGAUGUUAGAAUCGCUAGGGUGAAUGUUUUAUGUUAAAAUUUAGUUUGAAAACUACAGUGGAAGUUCGUUUUGAGCAACUAAAUAUAGAGGCAGAUUGCUAUAUCGGAGACAGAGCUCUUCCGACGCUACUGAAUGCAGCUAGCAACAUUGCUGAAUCUGCUUUGAGUUGUUUAGGGAUUAGGAGAUUUGCCAUUGGAGCAUUUUCGUGGCCCCACCAUUUAUAUAUGAAA